UAACGACGCAGUGCUGGCGACAGGGCUGCAAACGGCCCGUCUUGAAACACGGACCAAGGAGUCUAACAUGUGCGCGAGUGCUCUAGCCUUUUGAAGCUAUUGCUCUGCGAAAUGAAAGUGAGAGGGGUGAUUUGCGGCGCACUUCUGAUGAUUUUUAUUAUUGGAAUGUGGCGGUGUGAAGCAACCCCGACCGAUCUGGAUCCGCGCUUGGGGUUUUUGUCUGGGAUUUAUUCUGGGCAAGCCGCUUGUGCGCAUGAAGGAUUUGCGUUCUAGCGCAUUUGUUAGGACCCGAUAGAUGGUGAGCUAUGCCUGAGCAGGGCGAAGCCAGAAGAAAUUCUGGUGGAGGCUCGUAGCGGUCAUGACGUGCAAAUCUGUCGUCAAACUUGGGUAUAGGGGCGAAAGACUCAUCGAACCAUCUAGUAGCUGGUUCCCACCGAAGUUUCCCUCAGGAUAGCAGAGGCUCAUUGAUUACAAUGAUUGUAGUAGUUUUAUCUGGUAAAGCGAAUGAUUAGAGGCCUUGGGGAGUGUAAUUUCCUCAACCUAUUCUCAAACUUUAAAUGGGUAAGGGGUGUGCGCUUUCUUUGAUUUGAAGCGUGUGCUUGAAUACGAGUCUCUAGUGGGCCAUUUUUGGUAAGCAGAACUGGCGAUGCGGGAUGAACCGAACGCGGGGUUGAGGUGCCGGAAUCGACGCUCAUGAGAACCCAGAAAAGGUGUUGGUUGGUAUAGACAGCAGGACGGUGGCCAUGGAAGUCGGAAUCCGCUAAGGAGUGUGUAACAACUCACCUGCCGAAUCAACUAGCCCUGAAAAUGGAUGGCGCUCAAGCGUCGUACCUAUACCCCGCUGUGCUUGCAAUAAUAAUAAAUAUAAAAAUAUGGAAUGAAGCUAGCACAAGUAGGUGGGCGUGGUGGUUUUCUUGGCGCGCACUCGAAAGGGUGUUUUUGCCUGCGAAUGACCUUGGAAGCCUGUGGCGUGAGCCUGGGUGGAGGGGCCACCAGUGCAGAUCUUGGUGACAGUAGCAACGAUUCAAAUGAGAUCUUUGAAGACUGAAGUGGAGCAAGGUUCCGUGGGAACAGCAGUUGGCCACGGGUGAGUCGGUCCUAAGAGAUGGGGCAGUCCUUUAUCAAGGCCAGGGGUGUGAGGGGGGAAAUGUAAUUUAUUGUGUUUCUCUCUGGUGCCCCCACUCAUCGAAAGGGAAGCAGGUUAAGAUUCCUGCACCGCACCACACCAUUUUAAAAAGCAGAGCGGCAACGCAAACAAACUCGGAGACGCUGCCGGGGGCCCUGGAAAGAGUUUUCUUUUCUUUUUGACGUGUUUUGGGGGCGUGUGCGAUUCUAUAUCGCGCGCGCUGCCAUUCUUGCCCUGGAAUCAGUUUGGCUGGAGAUGGGGCAGGAGACACGGCAGAGCAUCAUGAUUUUCUUUUUGUGAUGUCCGGUGCGCUCGCGGCGGACCAUGAAAAUCCGAGGGCGUAGAAAAAUUUGGUUUUCGAACCGAAUUAUAUAUAUGGCUGUGGGCGGCCGUACUGAUAACCGCAGCAGGUCUCCAAGGUGAAGAGCCUCUAGUUUGAUAGACGAAUGUAGGUAAGGGAAGUCGGCAAAAUGGAUCCGUAAGCUCGCGAUAAGGAUUGGCUCAAGAGGUUGGGAUGGGCUGCCAUUUCU
rnacentral:rRNA from 1 species